UUGAAAGGGAAACGAUUGAAGUCAGUCGUACCAGCGGGAAAUCAACCUUUCGAGUGGGGNUUUUGGAGUUUUUUGAAGAGUGUCAAAACCUUUGAGAUUUCAAAAUAUUCGCUCUUUUGGUGUACUUUCUCGUGGGUAGGUUAACAUCGAUUUUGAUCAUCAUAAAAAGAUUGGAGGAAUGUAGCUUCGAUCUUGUAUUGAAGUGUUAUAGCCUUUGGUAAAUGUGAUGAUUAGGAUCGAGGAUUGCAACGAAUACCCUUUUGGGCUAUCCGCCUGAUCUCUGAUACGUGGCCUUGGUAUCGAAAGCGUGCUUAUGGUAUUGAGGUAUUACGGUCAAAAGGUUAGAACGGAUUACAUUCGUUAAGGAUGUUGACGUA
rnacentral:rRNA from 1 species